CACUGAACAUACUACACAGCUGUAUGAAUGAAUGGAACGGGAAGAGGCAAAUGUGAAAAAUACUACGCGUGGGUGAAGAAGAAGCACCCAAACAAAAAAAUAUGAAUGAAAAUAAAAAGGUUCUGCUGGAGAUUGAAGGCCAUUUAUGGAGAUUUUGAAUAAGGGACAAUGUUGGCUGCCUUGGACCAGAAGAAUUUCAAUGGCCGAUUCUGAAGAUGGUGAAUCUGAGCAGAUUUAACCGGUACUGUUCCAGAUAAGCUGGUGGACUAUCGAUUAAGGUGGUUCCGGAAAUUGAAGGUAAGUGUAAUGAAUUAUCAUGGAAUAAAAAAAGUGUUCUCUUUUU